rnacentral:rRNA from 1 species
UACAGAGGGUGCAAGCGUUAAUCGGAUUUACUGGGCGUAAAGCGUGCGUAGGCGGUUCAGUAUGUCGGUCGUGAAAAUCCCCCGGGCUUAACCUGGGAACUGCGGCCGAAACUGCUGGGCUUGAGUGUGGUAGAGGAAGGUGGAAUUCCAGGUGUAGCGGUGAAAUGCGUAGAUAUCUGGAGGAACACCGAUGGCGAAGGCAGCCUUCUGGGCCACAACUGACGCUGAGGUACGAAAGCGUGGGUAGCAAACAGG